UGGGGGAAUAUUGCACAAUGGGCGAAAGCCUGAUGCAGCAACGCCGCGUGAGUGAUGAAGGCCUUCGGGUUGUAAAGCUCUGUCUUUUGGGACGAUAAUGACGGUACCAAAGGAGGAAGCCACGGCUAACUACGUGCCAGCAGCCGCGGUAAUACGUAGGUGGCAAGCGUUGUCCGGAUUUACUGGGCGUAAAGGAUGCGUAGGCGGAUUUUUAAGUGAGAUGUGAAAUACCCGGGCUUAACUUGGGUGCUGCAUUUCAAACUGGGAAUCUAGAGUGCGGGAGAGGAGAAUGGAAUUCCUAGUGUAGCGGUGAAAUGCGUAGAGAUUAGGAAGAACACCAGUGGCGAAGGCGAUUCUCUGGACCGUAACUGACGCUGAGGCAUGAAAAGCGUGGGGUAGCAAACAGGAUUAGAUACCCUGGUAGUCCACGCCGUAAACGAUGAGUACUAGGUGUAGGAGGUAUCGACCCCUUCUGUGCCGCAGUUAACACAAUAAGUACUCCGCCUGGGAAGUACGAUCGCAAGAUUAAAACUCAAAUGAAUUGACGGGGGUCAUAGCUGUUUUCCU
rnacentral:rRNA from 1 species